UACGUAGGGUGCGAGCGUUGUCCGGAAUUACUGGGCGUAAAGGGCUCGUAGGUGGUUUGUCGCGUCGUCUGUGAAUUUCCGGGGCUUAACUCCGGGCGUGCAGGCGAUACGGGCAUAACUUGAGUACUGUAGGGGUAACUGGAAUUCCUGGUGUAGCGGUGAAAUGCGCAGAUAUCAGGAGGAACACCGAUGGCGAAGGCAGGUUACUGGGCAGUUACUGACGCUGAGGAGCGAAAGCAUGGGUAGCGAACAGG
rnacentral:rRNA from 1 species